rnacentral:rRNA from 1 species
UGGGGAAUUUUGGACAAUGGGCGAAAGCCUGAUCCAGCAAUGCCGCGUGUGUGAAGAAGGCCUUCGGGUUGUAAAGCACUUUUGUCCGGAAAGAAAUCCUUGGCUCUAAUACAGUCGGGGGAUGACGGUACCGGAAGAAUAAGCACCGGCUAACUACGUGCCAGCAGCCGCGGUAAUACGUAGGGUGCAAGCGUUAAUCGGAAUUACUGGGCGUAAAGCGUGCGCAGGCGGUUUGCUAAGACCGAUGUGAAAUCCCCGGGCUCAACCUGGGAACUGCAUUGGUGACUGGCAGGCUAGAGUAUGGCAGAGGGGGGUAGAAUUCCACGUGUAGCAGUGAAAUGCGUAGAGAUGUGGAGGAAUACCGAUGGCGAAGGCAGCCCCCUGGGCCAAAUACUGACGCUCACGCACGAAAGCGUGGGGAGCAAACAGGAUUAGAUACCCUGGUAGUCCACGCCCUAAACGAUGUCAACUAGUUGUUGGGGAUUCAUUUCCUUAGUAACGUAGCUAACGCGUGAAGUUGACCGCCUGGGGAGUACGGUCGCAAGAUUAAAACUCAAAUGAAUUGACGGGGU